UUAUAUUAUAGGACUGAGAGAGUCCCUCCGUCCCAUAAAAACAAACCCAAAACUAGAUGUGAUAUAUCACAAUACAAUAAAUCUGGAUAGGAGUCUAUCCAGAUACUUCUAUCUAGAUUUAUUGUACUGGGAUAUGUCACAUAUAUUCAGUUUUAUAUUUGUUUUUUUUUUUGGACAAAAAGAGUACUACGCGUGCACUGAUCACUGCACCAAACGCCCGGAAAACUCCAAUUGUAGUGCAGUAUCACAGUGUCACUCCUUAAAAGCUUUUAAAAACAAAGUGUAACAGUGGCAUACAGACAUGAUGAUCAACCUCUAUAUAUAUGUGUGAGCCUACACAGUAGCUAGCGGGACACGGCUCAAACCUUUACAAAAUCAUAAUUAAGCUUCCAUUGAAAUGUAAGAAUGUGUACGUAGGAUUUUCACAGGUCGGUUCAAUUUACAUAGAAAAUUUCUCUGAAGUUUCAAGCAGGACUUAAUUAAGUCUUAAGAUUCUGUUGGUAACUUGAUGCCGUAUAGGUUAAUUGCACUAUCU
rnacentral:precursor_RNA from 1 species